ensembl:lncRNA
GUCAUGGAGAAAGCUGGGAGUCGUGGGCCAACGUCUUCAAUAAACGGGCAGAGGUGGGGGGUGAUUUGUAGAAAUCAAGAAGGACAAUGGGUGACUUAGCUCAAUGGCGUGAACUUUAGUGGGAAACGAAAGAGUCAUGCUGUGGAAGCUGCAACGAGGCCCUGAGAGCAGGGAGGGAUGCAGACGAGAGCCAGAACUUCACUACGUCAAGGAGACCGAGCCCCUAGUACAUAGUUGCAUAUUCCAGUCAUGGGUCGUUCUAAUUGUGGCAUGUGGGAUGCCACCUCAGCGUGGCCUGAUGAGCGGUGCCAUGUCCACGACCAGGAUUCAAACCAGUGAAACCCUGGGCCACUGAAAUGGAGCGCAUGAACUUAACCACUCAGCAACGGGGCCAGCCAAAGCCCUGCACAUCAACACUCAUCGGAGGCAGCAAGUGUGGCCGUGCCGUCCGCGGUCCGACACGCGUUCACUGGGACUUCCCCCUGGAGGGGCGGCAGCCUGUCCAAGGAUUUACCCCAGAGACCUCAGAACAGAAGCAACUGCAUUUCUACUUGACUGUUACUUCUCUGCCUAAGGAAUCUCCUUGACCAUUAAUCCUGCUCACCGUUUAUGGGAAAUUUGGCCUCUGGGCUCCAUUACAGAUAUUAAAUUCACAGUGAAAGCAUGGAAGACUCCCAUUCAUUAAAAAUUCCAUUCACACUCUCCAAGCUGAAAACAAGAAACCACAUUUUGGGUUGUAGAGGUGGCCACUCUAAAUGACCCAACUGACUAGUUGUUUCUGUUAUGAAACACAUUUCCUGUGAAUUCCAAGGGAAUUCGUAAAUAGAAGGCAAAAGAAACAUUUUUUAUUUCACUUUUUAUGUACAUGCUAAGGCUUUGUUGGGAAGUUACCCGGGUAUGGGGCGGGGACAUUUCUCAGCGGCAGCUAUCAAACUGGGACUACUAUAAAGGGCAAUGGAUGUGGAAUUUACCUGGACUGAAGGGAGCUCGAGAUUUUCCACUGACCACAAACACAGGAUUGUCAUGGAUUCGAUUCGUGACCUUGACAAGUCGCUUCACCUUUCCAGUCUUCAUUCUUCUUCUUUAAGAAAAGGAAAAGAUGUGACCAGGUGGUCAUGAAGUCUCCUUCUGGAUCUAAAAAUGUUAUGAUUUUGUGAAUGAGUUUACAGUAGUCCUGAUUUAAAGGACAAUUGUAGCCGACACUUUAGAAAGAUGAAUACCAUUUCUUUGACUUGCAACUUCACUCAACUAAUUAGACACAUAUGUAUAGAGAGCCCAUUAUGUGCCUGGCACUUUGCUUGGUGCUGGAGAAACUUAGGACAAAGGUCACAGCACCUUGCCCUUGCAGCUAUAGGGGAGACAAGACAGCUGUGUUCCAGGGUCAGCCAUGGCCUGUGCUUUCUAUUUCUGGCUCUCUCACGUUCGUAGUUGGCUCAGUGUAAAACUGGAGUCAAAUUCCAAUCAUUUAUUGCCUAUUUCCUCCACCAGAGUGGCAGGCAGGAAUUUUGUCUCUUUUAUUCAUUGUUCUAUCUCCAAUACUUGGAAGAAUGCCCAAUGCCUUGCUGGUGAUUGAUGUACAAGCUGUAAUGAUGGGGCACCAAUUUGAAGGAUAUAUUUAAAAGUGGCGGGAGAAUGAGCUAAUAUGAUGAUCUUCAAACUGCAGUAUGUUCAUCCCAAAGGAGUUUAUAAAGACUUUCCAAGGGAUGGAUGGCAUGGAUAGCUUUAGGGGAAUCAAUUUCAAAAUCCUCAACUUCCACUGAAAGCAUUUUUCAAAGUUGAUGUGCCUGAGAGCACACUGAGAAAGGUUCCUGCUGGCUUCUUUCCCAUCUUCCCUCUUACAAUGUUCUUCUCUUAACAAACGAGAGGCUUUUUUCUCCAGUUUUACUGAGGUGCACUCUCCCAGGUAAAAAGCAACUGAGAAGAAACCUUGGAAGUAUAGGGACAGGUUUGAGACAGUAAAUGGCUCUAAUGUCUGGCUAACAAACUUUUGCAAGUCAAGUGGUUUCCAGUGCUUUGCUGUCAACAAAGUUCAAGUAGAACCGACUGGAGCUGUCAUCUGAUAGAUAACUAAAAAUAAUUUUUGAUAAUAGAUCACAAUGUGAUUUUUGGCGUAUAAUUCAAA